rnacentral:lncRNA from 1 species
UUGCAUUGCAAAGAUAUUCCAUCUUCUGAUGUUUUGGAAUGUGAUCUUUGUUCUCAACAAGUAGACGAUUGCAAGUAUGUUAUUGUUUCUUGUCCCUAUGCAGUUGAAUGUUGGCAAGCUUUAGCUACUAUGUGUGGAUAGACUUUUUACCCUCCUUUACUGGUUCUGGUUGAAGUGCUAGCCAGGACCAUGCUAGAGAAAGGGUAUCAAGUUCUCCUUGCAUACAUAGCUUAUCUGGAAGGCUCGGAAUGAUAAGGUUUUCCAACGAUCAUUUUGCAGGCCUUCUCAUUUGCUUCGGAAAGUUUUCUCUGUGUUUCCUCAUUUGUUUCACUGACAGCUUCAUCACUCCCCUUACACUCAGUCAACGAUUUGGGGUUGAUAUUAUAUUUCUCAUCACAGAUAGCUUUCCUCCCUUUUUGUUGCAUGGCAACCCCCUCCCCUUGGUGUAUGUAGGUUAAAUUUUGAUGGAGCAGUAGGUAAUGGUAAGGUUGCAGUUGCAUUUGAAUCAGAAAUCAUGAUGGUAUGCUUUUUAGGGCAGAGG